rnacentral:rRNA from 1 species
UACGGAGGAUGCGAGCGUUAUCCGGAUCUAUUGGGUUUAAAGGGUGCGUAGGCGGGAUGCCAAGUCAGCGGUAAAAAUGCGGUGCUCAACGCCGUCGAGCCGUUGAAACUGGCGUUCUUGAGUGGGCGAGAAGUAUGCGGAAUGCGUGGUGUAGCGGUGAAAUGCGUAGAUAUCACGCAGAACUCCGAUUGCGAAGGCAGCAUACCGGCGCCCUACUGACGCUGAGGCACGAAAGCGUGGGUAUCGAACAGG